UACAGAGGGUGCUAGCGUUGUUCGGAAUUACUGGGCGUAAAGCGCGCGUAGGCGGCUUUGUAAGUUAGAGGUGAAAGCCCGGGGCUCAACUCCGGAACUGCCUUUAAGACUGCAUCGCUAGAAUCCGGGAGAGGUGAGUGGAAUUCCGAGUGUAGAGGUGAAAUUCGUAGAUAUUCGGAAGAACACCAGUGGCGAAGGCGGCUCACUGGACCGGUAUUGACGCUGAGGUGCGAAAGCGUGGGGAGCAAACAGG
rnacentral:rRNA from 1 species